rnacentral:lncRNA from 1 species
CAUAAGUUCAAUAAAUAUUUGCUUUUUUCAUUGCAGAACAAUUGGAAACACAGGUUACAUUACCAACAUUUUGACUGGGAUGUCAUAUUUUCAAGUAUAACCAUACUGCUUUAAGGAAUUAAGGCCAACUUUAAAGAGCCAUUGAAGCUCUUAGAAGAACCCUCCUGAGACCUUGUUUCCACGAUUCCCUUUCAAGGUUUCUAGCCUUGGGUCCAGAAGCCACUGGGAUUCCUGGAGUGUUUUCGGAGCAGUGAGUACCACAGACUUUAGCAAGCACACUGGAUGAGAAUCCAACAGUGACCUUGCUUGAGGAAGAUGAACAACGCUUCAGACAGCAUGUCAAAUAGAUUCAAGUUUUAAGAAAUCAGGAAGAAACCAUCUUGGAAAACAAAUAUUGAAACUAGAACAAGACUGUAAAAUAAACAGGAAGGACUUAAAGUUUAUGAAAUAGAAAAAGAUAAUAUAAACGAUCAAUAUAACUAAAAGCUAGUCUUCAAAAGGACAGAGCCACAUUUCUGAGAAAGCUUCCUGACUGGAAUAAUAAAUUGUGCUUGAAAAACAUAGAAACAGAGGAGAGGGCAAGGUUACUGCUGAAAUGGAAAACUAAGUGACACAUGGCUUGAAAACUCUCAGAAUCACUGGCAUUCCCUGGUCAAGUUGAGUGGAACAAAUCACUCCCCAAACAAAAUGAAGUUUUGACUCUAUAGAGCCAAUGGAUGUGGACCCUGGACUUAGAAAGAGAUUUGUAAACAAACCAGAGAACACCGAAGAGCUGCUCCUUCGCACUGAAAUGGUUUGCUGGCUUUCUGCCUAGAUCCGACAUCUCUUCAAAUGGACAGUCCCAACUCUCCUUCUCUCACUUCUCUUCCCCCUUCUCUGUAAGUCACAAAUGCUGCAUUUGGAGGAACUUCAUUUUAACUAGGAUAAACAUCACAUAAUAAAUGAUGCAUUUUUUCUCAUAAAGCAAACCAUUUAUCAAUGUUUUUAGUAAUUGUUUGUGUUGGAGCCCUUGGUGGAAGUCUUAUGAUCUAUAGUGUCCAUUGAGGCUUCCAUUUAAAGGGGGGCAGAGACAAUGCCAAAGUUGAUACAAGGGAUGAUGGGGAGAUAAGCUCUCGAGGCCUAUAUAUUAUCCGCCCGCAGUGUUGGGAGGGCCACAGGAAGGAUGGUGAUUAUUCUAUUUGGCAAGCCAAUUGUCUGUCUUUGGAAAAUGAUAGGAUGAAGAGUGGAGUCAAAAAUAAUACCUUUCUCGAUGCCCAGAUAUAAAUGAGCUAUUUACAAUCCCUCCUGCCUUUUAGGUUUGGGUUUUAUUUUUCCUCUGCACAAUAGAUUAAACCUUCAAGGAGGUUUGUAGUAAAAGAGGAGGAAACUAUGAAAAACACCACAUACUUGCAGACACCUGCAAGCA